rnacentral:lncRNA from 1 species
AUUGAAAUCAUUUUGCCUCUUCUCCAAAGGCAAAAAACCCAUGCUCUUCCUUUGCUCAAACCCUAUCAUUGGUAAAACUCUCAUCGGUAAAGCUCUCAUCAGUAAAGCUCUUUUGCUCUCAUUUUACAUGUUUUCUUUUAGCUGCAUACAUAUACCUUGCUUUUCCCCAAUUAACUAAGAUUUUUCUUUUUCAGAUUAGCAAGUUUUUUUUUUGCAAAUCUGUUGUAUUCCUCCCUAUUGUUGAAUUCAUUUAUUUAUUUUGUUUCUCUUAGGUGAUUAACAUGAGUAAUUGAUUGUUACUUAAAAAGAUAUUGAAACUUGUUUACUUAUAUUUUGAAUCAUUUGGUUAAAUAAUAUGAACUGUGUAAAAUUAAGAGAGAUGUAUUUCUUACAUUGUUAUGUGAUUUUGUCUUAUUCCUCAACGUAUGAGCUGGUGUAUUUCUUUGCAUCUGUUAUUUGUUGUCACAAUGCGAAGGUAAAUUCCAUGAGGUAAAUAGUAACUAGAUAUGUUCUAUUUGCAGGAACUCUUUCUAAGAAUGGAAACUACAACUUCUGGAGCAGAUGUAGAGGUGGUUGUCAAUAAUCCUUCGCCAGUGGCAGCUCAAAAACAAAGUGAAGACACUCCUCAUCGAUGCACUCCUCCUAAGAAGCAAAAAAGAACGACUCCAUCAGAAAAAUCUAAAUCUGGAAAUAGUGGUAGAGAGACGUCCGAG